GGGCCCGUAGCUCAGUUGGUUAGAGCAUCCGCUCAUAAUCGGCAGGUCGACAGUUCAAGUCUGUCCGGGCCCACCA
rnacentral:tRNA from 1 species